rnacentral:tRNA from 1 species
GACCCGAUAGCUCAGCUGGUAGAGCGAACGGCUGUUAACCGUUAGGUCGUAGGUUCGAGUCCUGCUCGGGUCG